UCAUCGGACCUGCUUCUUCGAUGGUGGAGGCCGUAAACUCGAGAUUUUCAUACAUUGUGCCUGUCUUUCCGUCUUCGGCGUUGAUACCUCAGUCUUCGCGGAUGGUUUGCCGUAAGGCGACAGUCUGCAGAUCGAGGAGUUAAUCAUCGGAAUCUUUGCUCUUUACGUAACGGGAGUCCGCACUUUUCCAGACACGCUAUUGGAUGACAACUACAAAUACGUCAUGGAUGUCGGACCCCAAAUGUGUAUGGGAGUCGCCUGACGGUCGGUCAGCCUAAACACGAGCUCUCCACAUGCCACAGCUGCUUUGGAUGUCCCCUCAUGUUCCUCAAAGUCAGCCUGAAAUGUAUGACUGCAAGGUGUCACACAGCAUUGCUUGCCAAGCCAUCACACAUGGGUCAACAACUUGGGGUACAUUUCGGAAAAAGGUCUCCUCUUCUUUAUACCACACAGACUAUGCUGCCAUCUACUCUGCCUCCUUCACAUGCCAAAGCAGAGAUGUGGACUCUGCACCUGAACAUGUUUAAUGAACUGAAAACAUGGCAUCAGCACCAGACAAAGAUCUGCCUUUUGGGAGACUGCUUCAUCAUGUGCAUACUGGACCAAAAACAUGUCACUCAGCCAACUCCUGUUUCCUGUGUCUAGCCGGCGGUGCAGCCGUCUCCAGUCCAGACAACUAGACUUUUCUGUGUCCUGAUGGCGGUCUGGUCGACACCAGCUCCUGGUUCCUUAUUGGCAAUGACAGCAACCACCUGAUUUGGUAAUGCAGCAACAACUUCCUGACCCUGCUGAUCUGCAAAUACCCCUAGUUUCUGUGCUGCAACAACCACCUGAGCCCGAACUGUAACAGUC